CGUAGGGGGCUAGCGUUGUCCGGAAUCAUUGGGCGUAAAGAGCGUGUAGGCGGCCCGGUAAGUCCGCUGUGAAAGUCGGGGGCUCAACCCUCGAAUGCCGGUGGAUACUGUCGGGCUAGAGUGCGGAAGAGGCGAGUGGAAUUCCUGGUGUAGCGGUGAAAUGCGCAGAUAUCAGGAGGAACACCGAUUGCGAAGGCAACUCGCUGGGACGUAACUGACGCUGAGACGCGAAAGCGUGGGGAGCAAACAGGAUUAGAUACCCUGGUAGUCCACGCUGUAAACGAUGGGCACUAGGUGUGGGGGGUGUCGACUCCCUCCGUGCCGAAGCUAACGCAUUAAGUGCCCCGCCUGGGGAGUACGGCCGCAAGGCUA
rnacentral:rRNA from 1 species